UACGAAGGGGGCUAGCGUUGCUCGGAAUCACUGGGCGUAAAGCGCACGUAGGCGGCUUCUUAAGUCAGGGGUGAAAUCCUGGAGCUCAACUCCAGAACUGCCUUUGAUACUGAGGAGCUCGAGUCCGGAAGAGGUGAGUGGAACUGCGAGUGUAGAGGUGAAAUUCGUAGAUAUCUGGAGGAACACCGGUGGCGAAGGCGGCAUCCUGGACCGGUAUUGACGCUGAGGCGCGAAAGCCAGGGGAGCAAACGGG
rnacentral:rRNA from 1 species